rnacentral:rRNA from 1 species
GUGGGGGAUAUUGCACAAUGGGGGAAACCCUGAUGCAGCGACGCCGCGUGAAGGAAGACGUACUUCGGUAUGUAAACUUCUAUCAGCAGGGAAGAAGAUGACGGUACCUGACUAAGAAGCCCCGGCUAACUACGUGCCAGCAGCCGCGGUAAUACGUAGGGGGCAAGCGUUAUCCGGAUUUACUGGGUGUAAAGGGAGCGUAGACGGUGAAGCAAGUCUGAUGUGAAAACCCGGGGCUCAACUCCGGGAUUGCAUUGGAAACUGUUUUACUUGAGUGCGGGAGGGGAAAGCGGAAUUCCUGGUGUAGCGGUGAAAUGCGUAGAUAUCAGGAAGAACACCGGGGGCGAGGGCGGCUUGCUGGACAGUAACUGACGUUGAGGCUCGAAAGCGUGGGGAGCAAACAGGAUUAGAAACCCGAGUAGUCC